GGCUUUGUAGCUUAGUGGUAACGUGUACUGAAAUAUUUAAAGUGUCAUUGGUUCAAAUCCAAUAGGGCCC